UCAAGUGACUUAAGGGCAUCUGGUGGAUGCCUUGGCGGUAAGAGGCGAUGAAGGACGUGGUACGCUGCGAUAAGCUAGGGGAAGGUGCGAACAGCCGUUGAUCCCUAGAUCUCCGAAUGGGGAAACCCACCUUCGAUAACUGGAACUUCGAGGCCGGAUGGUUUCGAGGAUCCCUCGGGACGUCCGGUUUCGGAUUUCCGGUUAUCAUGUGAAGGUAUCUAACCCUGAAUACAUAGGGGUUAAGAAGCAAACCCAGGGAACUGAAACAUCUAAGUACCUGGAGGAAAGGAUAUCAACCGAAACUCCGCAAGUAGUGGCGAGCGAACGCGGACUAGGCCAGUGUCUCGGAAAUGACAAGUGGAACCAUCUGGAAAGUUGGGCCGUAGCGGGUGACAGCCCCGUACACGUAAUGCAGAUCCGAGACCUCGAGUAAGGCGGGACACGUGAAAUCCUGUCUGAACAUGGGGGGACCACCCUCCAAGCCUAAGUACUCCUUACCGACCGAUAGCGCACCAGUACCGUGAGGGAAAGGUGAAAAGCACCCCGACAAGGGGAGUGAAAUAGAACCUGAAACCGGAUGCCUACAAACAGUCGGAGCCCGCAAGGGUGACGGCGUACCUUUUGUAUAAUGGGUCUGCGACUUAGUCUGACGAGCAAGCUUAAGGCGAUAGCUGUAGGCGAAGCGAAAGCGAGUCUGAACAGGGCGUUCAGUUCGUCGGACUAGACCCGAAACCAGUCGAUCUAUCCAUGGCCAGGUUGAAAGUAGGGUAACACCUACUGGAGGACCGAACCGGUGCCUGUUGAAAAAGUCUCGGAUGAGCUGUGGAUAGGGGUGAAAGGCCAAUCAAGGCUGGAAAUAGCUGGUUCUCCGCGAAAUCUAUUUAGGUAGAGCCUCGAGUGAAUACCCCAGGGGGUAGAGCACUGGAUGGGCUAGGGGCCCCCACAGGGUUACCAAACCUAACCAAACUCCGAAUACCUGGGAGUACUACUCGGGAGACACACGGCGGGUGCUAACGUCCGUCGUGAAAAGGGAAAAAACCCUGACCGACAGCUAAGGUCCUCAAGUCAUGGCUAAGUGUGAAAGGAUGUGGAAAUCCCAUAACAACCAGGAGGUUGGCUUAGAAGCAGCCAUCCUUUAAAGAAAGCGUAACAGCUCACUGGUCUAAACAAGGGUUUCUGCGCCGAAAAUGUAACGGGGCUAAAGCCAUGCACCGAAGCUUCGGGUGUGCAGCAAUGCACGCGGUAGCGGAGCGUUCCGUAAGCCUGUGAAGGGAUAUCCGUGAGGGGUCCUGGAGGUAUCGGAAGUGCGAAUGCAGACAUGAGUAACGACAGGAGUGUGAGAAACACUCCCGCCGAAAGUCCAAGGGUUCCUGCGUAAAGUUAAUCUGCGCAGGGUUAGCCGGCCCCUAAGGCGAGGGCGAAAGCCGUAGUCGAUGGGAACCACGUUAAUAUUCGUGGGCCAGUGGGUGUGUGACGGAUGCUGUAAGUUGUUCGGCCUUAUCGGAUUGGCCGGGCAGCGAAAGUGUCCCUGGAAAUAGCCCCCACAUAGACCGUACCCGAAACCGACACAGGUGGACUGGUAGAGAAUACCAAGGCGCUUGAGCGAAGUGUGCUGAAGGAACUCGGCAAAUUGCCUGCGUAACUUCGGGAUAAGCAGGCCACCCAUAUGCGCAAGCAUGUGGGUGGGGCACAGACCAGGGGGUGGCGACUGUUUAGCAAAAACACAGGGCUAUGCUAAGUCCAACGACGACGUAUAUGGCCUGACGCCUGCCCGGUGCUGGAAGGUUAAGAGGAGAAGUGCAAGCUUUGAAUCGAAGCCCCAGUAAACGGCGGCCGUAACUAUAACGGUCCUAAGGUAGCGAAAUUCCUUGUC
rnacentral:rRNA from 1 species